ensembl:misc_RNA Metazoa_SRP Metazoan signal recognition particle RNA
GCCGGGUGUGGUGGCGCAUGCCUGUAAUCCAGCUACUGGGGAGGCUGAGGUGGGAGAAUUGCUUGAACCCGGGAGGCGGGGGUUGUAGUGAGCCGCGAUCAUGCCACUGCACUCCCGCCUGGGUGACAGAGCGAGACUCUUGUCUCAA